rnacentral:rRNA from 1 species
GAUGAACGCUGGCGGCGUGCUUAACACAUGCAAGUCGAACGGAAAGGCCCUGCUUGCAGGGUACUCGUGUGGCGAACGGGUGAGUAACACGUGGGUGAUCUGCCCUGUACUUUGGGAUAAGCCUGGGACACUGGGUCUAAUACCGAAUAUCACAAUUGUUUGGAUUCGCUUGUGGCAAGCUUUUGCGGUAUGGGCUGAGCUCGCGGCCUAUCAGCUUGUUGGUGGGGUAAUGGCCUACGAAGGGGUCGACGGGUAGCCGGCCUGAGAGGGUGUACGGGCACAUUGGGCCUGAGACACACGCCAGACAGCUACGAGGGGCAGCAGUGAGGGAGAUUGCACAAUGGGCGCAAGCGUGAUGCAGCGGCGCACCGUGGGAGAGGUUGGCCUUCGCUUUGUAGACGCCUUUCGCAACCGACGAUGCCGUUUGGUGACGGUAGGUUGUGAAGAAGCACCGGCUAACUACGUG